ensembl:lncRNA
AUGCAGCUCAGAUCAGAUGAAUCUGAUUCACUGAAUCAACCUGAAUCUGAUUCUCUCAGAGAUCCUGAAUCUGGUGUCCAGAUGCAGCUCAGAUCAGAUGAAUCUGAUUCACUGAAUCAACCUGAAUCUGAUUCUCUCAGAGAUCCUGAAUCUGGUGUCCAGAUGCAGCUCAGAUCAGAUGAAUCUGAUUCACUGAAUCAACCUGAAUCUGAUUCUCUCAGAGAUCCUGAAUCUGGUGUCCAGAUGCAGCUCAGAUCAGAUGAAUCUGAUUCACUGAAUCAACCUGAAUCUGAUUCUCUCAGAGAUCCUGAAUCUGGUGUCCAGAUGCAGCUCAGAUCAGAUGAAUCUGAUUCACUGAAUCAACCUGAAUCUGAUUCUCUCAGAGAUCCUGAAUCUGGUGUCCAGAUGCAGCUCAGAUCAGAUGAAUCUGAUUCACUGAAUCAACCUGAAUCUGAUUCUCUCAGAGAUCCUGAAUCUGGUGUCCAGAUGCAGCUCAGAUCAGAUGAAUCUGAUUCACUGAAUCAACCUGAAUCUGAUUCUCUCAGAGAUCCUGAAUCUGGUGUCCAGAUGCAGCUCAGAUCAGAUGAAUCUGAUUCACUGAAUCAACCUGAAUCUGAUUCUCUCAGAGAUCCUGAAUCUGGUGUCCAGAUGCAGCUCAGAUCAGAUGAAUCUGAUUCACUGAAUCAACCUGAAUCUGAUUCUCUCAGAGAUCCUGAAUCUGGUGUCCAGAUGCAGCUCAGAUCAGAUGAAUCUGAUUCACUGAAUCAACCUGAAUCUGAUUCUCUCAGAGAUCCUGAAUCUGGUGUCCAGAUGCAGCUCAGAUCAGAUGAAUCUGAUUCACUGAAUCAACCUGAAUCUGAUUCUCUCAGAGAUCCUGAAUCUGGUGUCCAGAUGCAGCUCAGAUCAGAUGAAUCUGAUUCACUGAAUCAACCUGAAUCUGAUUCUCUCAGAGAUCCUGAAUCUGGUGUCCAGAUGCAGCUCAGAUCAGAUGAAUCUGAUUCACUGAAUCAACCUGAAUCUGAUUCUCUCAGAGAUCCUGAAUCUGGUGUCCAGAUGCAGCUCAGAUCAGAUGAAUCUGAUUCACUGAAUCAACCUGAAUCUGAUUCUCUCAGAGAUCCUGAAUCUGGUGUCCAGAUGCAGCUCAGAUCAGAUGAAUCUGAUUCACUGAAUCAACCUGAAUCUGAUUCUCUCAGAGAUCCUGAAUCUGGUGUCCAGAUGCAGCUCAGAUCAGAUGAAUCUGAUUCACUGAAUCAACCUGAAUCUGAUUCUCUCAGAGAUCCUGAAUCUGGUGUCCAGAUGCAGCUCAGAUCAGAUGAAUCUGAUUCACUGAAUCAACCUGAAUCUGAUUCUCUCAGAGAUCCUGAAUCUGGUGUCCAGAUGCAGCUCAGAUCAGAUGAAUCUGAUUCACUGAAUCAACCUGAAUCUGAUUCUCUCAGAGAUCCUGAAUCUGGUGUCCAGAUGCAGCUCAGAUCAGAUGAAUCUGAUUCACUGAAUCAACCUGAAUCUGAUUCUCUCAGAGAUCCUGAAUCUGGUGUCCAGAUGCAGCUCAGAUCAGAUGAAUCUGAUUCACUGAAUCAACCUGAAUCUGAUUCUCUCAGAGAUCCUGAAUCUGGUGUCCAGAUGCAGCUCAGAUCAGAUGAAUCUGAUUCACUGAAUCAACCUGAAUCUGAUUCUCUCAGAGAUCCUGAAUCUGGUGUCCAGAUGCAGCUCAGAUCAGAUGAAUCUGAUUCACUGAAUCAACCUGAAUCUGAUUCUCUCAGAGAUCCUGAAUCUGGUGUCCAGAUGCAGCUCAGAUCAGAUGAAUCUGAUUCACUGAAUCAACCUGAAUCUGAUUCUCUCAGAGAUCCUGAAUCUGGUGUCCAGAUGCAGCUCAGAUCAGAUGAAUCUGAUUCACUGAAUCAACCUGAAUCUGAUUCUCUCAGAGAUCCUGAAUCUGGUGUCCAGAUGCAGCUCAGAUCAGAUGAAUCUGAUUCACUGAAUCAACCUGAAUCUGAUUCUCUCAGAGAUCCUGAAUCUGGUGUCCAGAUGCAGCUCAGAUCAGAUGAAUCUGAUUCACUGAAUCAACCUGAAUCUGAUUCUCUCAGAGAUCCUGAAUCUGGUGUCCAGAUGCAGCUCAGAUCUGAUUAA